GACACAUCUCCAGAGAGCAGGCCAUGACCUUGAGCUUCUCUAGGCCUGUCCACCUCUUAAAAAGCCAUAGUCAGUGACAGCUCUCAAGACCCUGUAUCUUACACAAGAGGUUUUUCAGGCUCUGCUUGAUGGCCUACAUCCAGUGACCAGGAACUCGCCACCUCCUGAGGAGGUUGAGGUCACUCUCGCUCAUCUCCAGCUACUGAAAGCUCUUCCUUGUGUGGAGCCCAAGGAUCUACCCUCACUUCAGAGGCUUCCGCUACCAGUCAUUGCUAGAGAAGAUGGGCACAUAAAAGCAAAGCAGGUUAAAUCUUCAAGGCUUGGCAUGGACUCAGAAAACCCUCAGAACUCUGUGAGUACUGCUGUGGGGACAACCUGCCUAUUCAAUUCAACUUGUUGCCUUCCUCUCCAGAAUGUGGGGAAAUCCAGGGCAAAUAAGAACUCUCACAUCAACGACCUCUAGCAC